GACGAACGCUGGCGGCGUGCUUAACACAUGCAAGUCGAACGAAGAGCGAUGGAAGCUUGCUUCUAUCAAUCUUAGUGGCGAACGGGUGAGUAACGCGUAAUCAACCUGCCCUUCAGAGGGGGACAACAGUUGGAAACGACUGCUAAUACCGCAUACGAUCUAAUCUCGGCAUCGAGGAUAGAUGAAAGGUGGCCUCUACAUGUAAGCUAUCACUGAAGGAGGGGAUUGCGUCUGAUUAGCUAGUUGGAGGGGUAACGCCCCACCAAGGCGAUGAUCAGUAGCCGGUCUGAGAGGAUGAACGGCCACAUUGGGACUGAGACACGGCCCAGACUCCUACGGGAGGCAGCAGUGGGGAAUCUUCCGCAAUGGACGAAAGUCUGACGGAGCAACGCCGCGUGAGUGAUGACGGCCUUCGGGUUGUAAAGCUCUGUUAAUCGGGACGAAAGGCCUUCUUGCGAAUAGUGAGAAGGAUUGACGGUACCGGAAGAGAAAGCCACGGCUAACUACGUG
rnacentral:rRNA from 1 species